AAAAAAAAAAAGGAAAGAAUCUCACACCUGUAAGUAACCCUGCACUUUGGGAGGCUGAGGUGGGCGGAUCACCUGAGGUCAAGAGUUGGAGACCAGCCUGGCCAACAUUGUGAAGCCCUGUUUCUACUAAAAAUACAAUUAGCCGGGCGUUGUGGCUUGCGCCUGUAAUCCAAGCUACUCAGGAGGCUGAGAUGGGAUAAUCGAUUGAACCAGGGAGGCGGAGGUUGCAGUGAGCCGAGAUCGCGCCACUGCACUCCAGCCUGGGCAACAGCAAGAAGAAAAAAAAUCUGAAGUAGGGGAGCUUUCAAGGAAGACAAAGAUUGGCUAACAAUGUUCGAUGACUUAGGAAAGAAGAUUAACCGUAUGAUCGGGCAAUUUAGGACCUGAUUUGUUAACUUUUACCAAUGAUGUCUAAACAAUGCAGUGAGAACAGAGAGACUGGAGUUGAGAAAAGAAUGAAAAGAAAGAAAGUGAAGGUGCCUGGUAAAAAUGUUUUUGGAAGCAGCUUGAUGGGGGCGGACGGGGAAGGUCGCCACCUAGUGUGAUUUCAAGGUUACUGAGAAUAAAGCACGAGUGGGCGUGGUGGCUCAAGCCUGUAAUCCCAGCGUUUGGGAGGCCAAUGUGGGUGGAUCACUUGAGCUCAGGAGUUCGAGACCGGCCUCGGCGAAGUUGCGUAAACCUAGUGUCUACAAAAAAUACAAAAAUUAGCUGGGUGUGGUGGCGCGUGCCUGUAAUCCGAGCUACUCGCGAGACUGAGGCAGGAGAAUUGCUUGAACCUGGGAGACGGAGCUUGCAGUGUGCCGAGAUCCUGCCACUGUACUCCAGCCUGGGUGACAGAGCAAGACUCGGUCUCAAAAAAUAAUAAAUCAACAACCACAAAGCGGGCCCGAAUUACUGGGAAGACAAAAAAGCCAAAGAACUCAGCAUAGGCCCAAUCUAAUUUUGGUUUGCUCUACUCUCUCAGUCGUUGAUAUUCUCCAAGACUUCCAGCUCCCAAAAUAUUUCUUCAACUACCCCAAAGCAUCUGGCACUGCUUGAAAGGACCUGCUGGAGUCCCAGGAUGAAAGGAGGUUAUGUUAACCAUCCUUGCGCGGAAAUGAAGAAAACCACGAGUUGUUCCUCCUGCUUUUUCCUGUUUUUUUUUUCUGUUGUUGUUGUUGUUGUUGCAGAGGCGCGGUCCACCCUGGAAUGAAGUGAGAAACCGAAAUCAUUUGGGGCUGUUUCCUUCCUGCAAGUCAGCCAUUACCUUGCCCAAUUCAAACUUUAUUUUCACCUGCUUUAAUUCCUGCUAGUUAUUUUCCUCUUCUUAGAGUUUGACCUCAGGUAAAUUAGCUAAUCUCUCUGUGCUUCAGUAGUCAUCUGUAUAAUAAUAUAUAUCUCCGUAAGGCACUGUAAGAUUUAGGUAAGAUAAUGUCUGAAAACUCUGUUCUUUGGGCCGGCCAUAUAAUGAGUCCUCAUAAAUUGUAGCAAUUAGUUUAAGUAGAACGAAGAAUAUAUGUAUCACUCUGAAUUAAGAUGGAUUAAUAUAAAACACUUGUCGAGGAUGAGCUGCAUUUUCCAAACCUGGAGGACAAAAAACCCUCCAAGUGUUAUUACCUUAUUCCACACAUUUGGGAAAGUACAAUGUCCUAGAGUUGUGAAAAAAGCAGAAAAGCCCACAGUUUCCUUGUCUGUAAUAUGGAGGUUUUGGUAUCUCAUAGGGUAGUUUUUAGAAUAAGAUGAAUUAGCAAAUGGUUUAAUGUUUAUAAAACAUUAGUUUUAUAUCUUAGAAUGUCCUUAUUCAGUGUUAAUCUCUGGUCACUCCUGCCUCCAAUCUCAGUAUUCUGUAAGCAAUGAUAUAUCAGGUGAUGUGGAUCUUCUGUGAGCCUGACAAGGCUUCCGUCCUCACAGAGCGUGCAGUCUAUAAAUGUGAAAGUGAUGGCCACAGGCAGGAGGUUCAAGGUCAGACUGCCUGGGUCAGAGGCUCACUCUGUGCUCUAAACCUUUCUGUCCCCCUGUCUUCAAGUCUAAGUAGGAUUAAAAUAGGAUGCACAUUAUAAGGGUGUUGUAGGGAUUAAAUAAGCAAAUUGUUUUCACUGGGUGCUCAUUGAGUGAAUGGGAUUUGAAAAGUUAGGUAAAGCCAUCAAGAGGUGUGUCUAGGGCAAGGCUGUGCCUAGGGUGGGGCUGUGUCUGGGGCGGGGCUGUGUCUAGGGUGUGUGAGGGAGGGCGUCUCAGGGUUAUGUUUGAUGAUUGCUGCUUCAGAGUUAAUCACUUUAUCAUUCAGAACCUGGACUAGAGAUUCAUCUGAACUUCCAACGGUGAGUUUCUGUGGUGGACACCAAAGCGUGUUUCUUUUGCAGGAGGCUCCUUACCUAAUGCAUUAGUGUUUUGUAUUAAUAGGUGUUUGGGCUUUCACUUUUUUUUUUUUCUUUUGAGACAGGGUCUUACUCAGUUGCCCCGGCUGGAGUUGGGGAAUCUUGGCUCACUGCAACCUCUGCCUCCUGGACUCAAAGCUAUAUUCUCCAGCCUCAGCCUCCCAAGUAGCUGGGACCACAGGCAUGCACCACCACACCUGGCUAAUUUUGGUUUUUUUGUAGAGACAGGGUUUUGCUAUGUUGCCCAGGCUGGUCUCAAACUCCUGAACUCAAAGCAAUCUGCUCACCUCAGCCUCACAAAGUGCUGGGAUUACAGGCAUGAGCCACCCUGCUAGGCCUGACUUUCACCUUUCAAAAGUUCAAGCUUGUAGGCUGGGAACAGCUGAUUUCAUCAGAGUAAUUGUGUGUGGUUGCCGUAUGGUAGAAUUGGGUAUAGGAUUUUACUAGAGGCUCAGGUAUUUAAAUCUUAACCCAUCAUAGCAUUAAGAGAGACUUUAUAUUUUAGAGAUACAUAUGGAUGUAUUUUCGGGUGAAUGACAUGUCUGAGAUUCACUUCAAAAUAAUGAGGGUGGGGUGUCAAGGAGAUAAAAUUGGCCAGGUAUUGCUAUAUAUUAAAUUUCAGUGAUAAGAUCAUCAGGCUAAUUAUACGCUUCCGUCUACUUUCCUGUAUGGUUAAAUGUAAACAGGGUGAAUACUGAAAACAAAAACGUCCUCAAAGCAAAAGAGCUAUACUGGAAGAAUUGUAGAAAUGGCCCUAGGCAUUUUUUUCCCUUUUGUUCACAGAUUUGAUAUUUCAUGAAAUUCAGAAAUAAUUUGGAGCUUUUCAAACCUGGGAUAUGGAAGAAACUGACACUCCUGUUCUCUGGGAAGGUGGGCUUGCAAAGUAUGGGGAUUCUGGAUUUCUUUUUCUAGAUGAGCCCUGGUUGAGAGAAGUCUCCGGUUAGUUCCAGCGGUGCCUUGUAUCUUAAUACGUUGUGUUUAAUGAGUAAUAACCUAAGUCAAAGGUGCCCCGAUAAUAUACAGUGGGCCCAGAAGUCCACUGGGCUCAUCACUAUAUUUCAGAGGCAAGAAUCUGCAUCAAAGAGCCCUGGAAGCAAUCAUGGCUCAACUGUGAUGCCUUUAGAACAUGAAGUCCUCCAAGAAGAUGCCAUAGGAAUGGCCUCCAUCCCAGGGCCUGGAGAGCAGCCAGAGACAAGAAGAGUAGCCCAGGAGGGCACUGGCAGUCAGUGCUACACUGUGGCCUGUCAGUCUCAGAGCCAGGAUUUAAUCACUGGAUCUCCCAUUAACCAGUCAUAAUGAAGUAAGAACAAGAAGAUGGGGAAGAGGAAGUGUAAAACCGUGGCUUAAAUUUGCCAAGGAUAAGCUGAGUGUACUUCAGCAGUCAUUUGCACAGAAUCCUUAUCCUAAUUUUACAACCAGGGAAAAACUGGCUGGACAGUCUCUUGUCCUGUGUUUGUAAUUGAUAACUGGUUUCAAAAUAAAAGCCAGACCACCACUUAGAGAGAGACACAGAAUGUUCACUGCCAGGGAACUGCAUGAUUCCUCUGCCAAAGGCCACCCAUUUACAAGAAUCCAGGAAAACCAGGUGGAAUCUCCCAAUGAUGACCCUGAGCAGAACUUCUUGUACCCAGGAAGUUCUACUGGGUGGAGCUGGCCACUCUUCCGUGGAGACACAGGGGACUCCCAAUUAACAUGAUGGCUCAAAUAACUGUAGCCUUAUGGAUUAAAAGGAAACUAAGCUGUGAUUUGGAGUAUCCAGGUGAUACAGAAAAUGGCCCUUGUCGAUGUAGAUCAGCAUUAUUUCCUUAUCCUUCUGCAUCUCCUCCUCAGUAUUCUGAAAGGGACAAGCCUGAGAUGGGGGAAAGCCAGCAUGCAAGGCCCUCCCCUUUGUGCUGUGUUCAUGGUGUGCACGGAGAGAGGCAGCAGCAGGAGGAACAGAAAGGUUAUUUUCUUUACUGACUCUUUCAAGGACAUCAGCAGAAUGGUUGGGAAUGUCAUCAUGAGCAGCCUCAGCCUCAGAAUUACCAGGAGAAGCUGGUCUUCCAGGAUCAGGUUCUAAUGUAUAUGAGUCACAGGAUUUAGGGAAGCAGGCACUUUCCCUUCAGUCCCAGCAGCAUGGUUGAUGUUCCCAAGUAAUGGAGAGUCCCUGUGCUCUCAGUUGUGGCACACACCUUUGCAAAUAGUGAUCAGAUCUCCACAAACGCCUCUUGGGUAAGAUAUGCAGCAACAUAGCUGGCUGCAGAGCAACCCAGUUCCCAAAUCCAGCAGCUCUUGGAUGAGAAGUCUGCAAGUGUUUACUGCUGGGACCAGGACUGUGUUUCUAGGAAAUGGUGCUAGGCUUCAGAGAGCAUCAUCCACAGGUCAUCCCACAACCAUCCACACAGAAGCCUGAGGAAAAGGGCUCUGCAGAGCUUGCACAUAAAGAUGCUGAACUCAGGAAGGCUCUGUGAGCUGCUGGUCUCUUCUGGUAGGGCAGCAGUGUCCUGAGAAGGUGGAGCUAGAGUAUGGAGAACAAAACUAACAAGCACCAAGGCAGCAAGCAAGGCAACCCCCAAAUGACAGCAGUUGCCAAAUCCAAAGCAAUCUGUGCUUCAGAAGACAGAGGCUCUGCACAGUCCCUGUCUCAGACAUUGUCUCCUCCUUAGAAGAUACCUAACAACAGCACUGUGGGAGGCUGAGGUGGGUGGAUCACCAGGUCAGGAGAUCAAGACCAUCCUUGAUCUUUAGUAGAGACGGUGAAACACUGUCUCUACUAAAAAAUACAAAAAAAAAUUAGCUAGCCGUGGCGGCGGGCACCUGUAGUCUCAACUAUUUGGGAGGCUGAGGCAGGAGAAUGGCCUGAACCCGGGAGGCAGAGCUUGCAGUGAGCUGAGAUUGCGCCACUGCACUCCAGCCUGGGCAACAGAGUGAGACUCCAUCUCAAAAAAAAAAAAAAAAAAAAAAAAAAAAGAUACCUAACAAGCAGUACAAGAAUAUGAAGGACCCCACUGCCCAGACUUUGUAUGGAGGGGUGUCUAAGGUGGCUACAGCAAAGCUGUCAUCUCCAUCGACCGGGACAGCAUCUCCAGCCAUGAUGUGUGGCCUGCUGGAACAGCAGCCAUGUGUCCUUUCACAGACAGCCCACCAAAGCUCUGACUGUGAAGGACAUCCCAACAUCAGCCUAGCCUGCAUACACUUAAGGCAUAGAAUCACCUGAGGCUUCUCCGUUGAAGACAGGGACUCCCGAUGGAGUUGCAGCCCCAGCUUUGCACUGUAAAGAGCCCCAGGGGGCUUCUGUGCUAGAGCAGGUGUGCAGACCCCUCCUCACCCCCUUCACUGAGAGCUGCUGCCUGGAACCAGUGUUUUGACUGAGUCACCUCUGGACGUGGGCCCACAAGAUCUGAGAGUGCCCAGACGAGAAGUUGAAUGCCUUGUGUUGACCUGAGUGUUUGGAAAAAAGCCCCAAACUUUGAAACAAUUUUCAUAAUUUUGAGCUUCAGGAUGUGGAAUCACUUCUCAAGUAUUCUGGAGUUCUGUCCAUCAGAGCGGGUCCUGCCAAUGCUGCCCUGUGCAGCGCUUCAGGCUGCAUCCCUCCCACUAGGGGGCGCCUUUCACAUAGUGGCGCCUGCCUUCUAGAGGAGCAACAUUUCCUGAACUGCAGGGUUCCCUCGGGGCUUUGUGUAAAACACAUCCACUGCAUAGAAUUUGUGUUAUUUCCAUUUUGUUUUCUUGACAAUAUUUAAUUAAUUACAAAAUGAUGUAUGUUAUGAUAGUUUAAGCAAUACAGAGAGUAACCAAACAAAAGCUUGGUCUUUUAUUCUCGCACUCUGAAUUUACAGUCCUGAAAACUCUAAACUCAUCAUAUAAUCUAUAUUGUAAAGACUUUGAUAAUCCCUUCCCUUGCCUUUCCUUUCCCCAUUCCCCCUUCCCCUUCCUUCUUCUACAUUGUAUGAUGUUUUUCAUAUUUACAUUCUAACCAAUUGUGUCAUGUGAUACUAAUUUGCAGAAUAAAGCAUGUUUUGCACAUAUUUCCAAGUCAUAUAACAUGCAGACAUACUUCAUUUUGUAAAUAUCUUCCUUCUCUUACUAUAAGAUUGAGAAUAGGUAAAGAGCAACUCUCCAAUGCAGGUGAUGAGUGUGAUUUGCACUAUCACUUUGGACAGCCAAUUGGAAUAUUUAUUGAAGUCAUAGAUGCCCAGCAAUUCUGUUACUGGAUGUGUCUCAUAGACAAACUCUUGGACAUUCUUAUAGAACACUGAGCCCAAAGAAGACACAUCAUAUAAUGUAAGAAGCUAGGACAGCUUAAAAAAAAAAGGCCUAGAUCUGUGUAAUUGUGUGAGUGUUCUCGGACAUACUGUUUGUAAAAAAUCGAGUUAUUGAGUAGUUUGAUAAUAUGAUAAUCAUGAAAAUAAAGGAUAAAGCAG
rnacentral:lncRNA from 1 species